UCCACUGGCAAAGGACGGACGCUAUCAAACCUGGCAGAGCAGAGGUCGUGAGUUCGAAACAUGAGGCUCUUGGAAGGCCGGAUUUAUUCUUGGAAGGCAAGGGAACAUUUGGAAGGCAAGGAUUUAUUCUUGGAAGGCAAGUGGGAACUUGGAAGGCAAGAAUUAUUCUUGGAAGGCAAGGUGCAACUUGGAUUGGCUUGCUUGGCACUUUGUCAGACCAGGUGGGGAGCGCUCGGACCCUGGCCAGUUGGAGGCACAUCCUGCGAUUAACCGGACUGUGUGAAGAGGGGCCGGAUCACAGACCCAAGGAUUAGUCUAGAAUAGGACACCUUGUAAAAAAAAAAAAAAAA
rnacentral:lncRNA from 1 species